AUGAACCUUUGAAGGUUGAGCUGGCGAUCUCAUAAGUCGCAAGUGCUUGCCUUCUUAUCCUUUUAUAACACCUGUGCACUUUUUGAAGGGGGGAGCUAGUAACUUAGCUGAUACAAGUCCCCCCCUUUCUAACUCACAUACACUUUAUUUAUUAUCGAAUGUAACAAACGCUUAACAGCAUUUAUAAUA
rnacentral:misc_RNA from 1 species